GGGGAGGGUAUUUGGUGGAUUUGAUGCUUUUGUCAAUUGCUUUGUCUACGAAGGGAAGAUUCAAGAACUGCUAUGUACAACUGAACAGGAGUAUAAAAAGACGAUAAAGAUUAAUGUUAUGGCACCAUGGUUUCUCUUAAAUGCUGUUGCUAAAAUGAUGAGGGAUACAAAAUCUGGUGGUUCUAUUAUAUUCGUGACAUCAAUUAU
rnacentral:misc_RNA from 1 species